rnacentral:rRNA from 1 species
GACGAACGCUGGCGGCAUGCCUAACACAUGCAAGUCGAACGAGUGGCGGACGGGUGAGUAAUGUCUGGGAAACUGCCUGAUGGAGGGGGAUAACUACUGGAAACGGUAGCUAAUACCGCAUACCAUCAGAUGUGCCCAGAUGGGUUUAGCUAGUUGGUGGGGUAACGGCUCACCAAGGCUACGAUCCCUAGCUGGUCUGAGAGGAUGACCGUCCACACUGGAACGGGGAAACGGUCACGACUCCUACGGGAGGCAGCAGUGGGGAAUAUUGCACAAUGGGCGAAAGCCUGAAGCAGCCAUGCGGCGUGUAUGAAGAAGGCCUUCGGGUUGUAAAGUACUUUCAGCGGGGAGGCGUUACCCACAGAAGAAGCACCGGCUAACUCCGUGCCAGCAGCCGCGGUAAUAC